GACGAACGCUGGCGGCGUGCUUAACACAUGCAAGUCGAACGGAAAGGCCAUGCUUUUGUGGGGUGCUCGAGUGGCGAACGGGUGAGUAACACGUGAGUAACAUGCCCUUGACUUUGGGAUAACUUCAGGAAACUGGGGCUAUUACAGGAUAGGAGCUACUGCUGCAUGGUGGGGGUUGGAAAGUUUCGGCGGUUGGGGAUGGACUCGCGGCUUAUCAGCUUGUUGGUGGGGUAGUGGCUUACAAAGGCUUUGACGGGUAGCCGGCCUGAGAGGGUGACCGGCCACAAUAGUACUGAGAGACGGCCCAGACGCCUACGGGAGGCAGCAGGGGAGAAUAUUGCACAAUGGGCGGAAGCCUGAGGCAGCAACGUCGCGUGCGUGAUGCCGGCUUUCUGGUGAUAAACCGCUGUCGCCUGUGACGAAGCGUGAGUGACGGUAAUUGGUAAAGAAGCACCGGCUAACUACGUG
rnacentral:rRNA from 1 species